rnacentral:rRNA from 1 species
GAUGAACGCUGGCGGCGUGCCUAAUACAUGCAAGUCGAGCGAACAGAUGAGGAGCUUGCUCCUCUGACGUUAGCGGCGGACGGGUGAGUAACACGUGGAUAACCUACCUAUAAGACUGGGAUAACUUCGGGAAACCGGAGCUAAUACCGGAUAAUAUAUUGAACCGCAUGGUUCAAUAGUGAAAGACGGUUUUGCUGUCACUUAUAGAUGGAUCCGCGUCGCAUUAGCUAGUUGGUAAGGUAACGGCUUACCAAGGCAACGAUGCGUAGCCGACCUGAGAGGGUGAUCAGCCACACUGGAACUGAGACACGGUCCAGACUCCUACGGGAGGCAGCAGUAGGGAAUCUUCCGCAAUGGGCGAAAGCCUGACGCAGCCACGCCGCGUGAGUGAUGAAGGUCUUCGGAUCGUAAAACUCUGUUAUUAGGGAAGAACAACUGUGUAAGUAACUAUCCACGUCUUGACGGUACCUAAUCAGAAAGCCACGGCUAACUACGUG